GCAUAGCACUCCGCCAUCGUCAUCGGGCGGAAGUUGGGGUUCACAGCUGUGUCCUGGUAUAAUGUCAUGAAGGCGCACACCUUGCAUCCUGACACUGGGUUGGUGGAAGGAGGCGGUGAAGGCGGCCCUGUUAAGGGGGCUCUCGGUGCAGGAGGUCGGGGUGCAGGAGGUCGGGGAGAAGGAGGUCGGGGUGCAGGAGGUCGGGGAGAAGGAGGUCGGGGUGCAGGAGGUCGGGGAGAAGGAGGUCGAGGAGAAGGAGGUCGGGGAGAAGGAGGUCGGGGAGAAGGAGGUCGGGGUGCAGGAGGUCGGGGAGAAGGAGGUCGGGGUGCAGGAGGUCGGGGAGAAGGAGGUCGGGGCGAAGGGGAGCGGGGCGGGGGCGCAGGUGACUUGAAGGGUGGCGGUCUUAGUGGAGAAGGGCUGGGCGGGCGGG
rnacentral:lncRNA from 1 species